AUUGAACGCUGGCGGCAGGCCUAACACAUGCAAGUCGAGCGGAGCGGCGGACGGGUGAGUCAUGUCUGGGAAACUGCCUGCUGGCGGGGGCUACCUCAUGGAAACGGUAGCUAAUACCGCAUACCAGUAGAUGUGCCCAGAUGUGCUUAGCUAGUAGGUGGGUGAACGGCUCACCUAGGCGACGAUCCGUAACUGGUCUGAGAGGAUGAUCAGUCACACUGGAACUGAGACACGGUCCCGACUCCGACUGGAGGCAGCAGUGAGGAAUAUUGGACAAUGGGCGAAAGCCUGAUCCAGCCAUGCCGCAUGUGGGAAGAAGGUCUUCGGAUUGUAAAGCACUUUAAGUUGGGAGGCGUUACCAACAGAAUAAGCACCGGCUAACUACGUGCCAGCAGCCGCGGUAAUAC
rnacentral:rRNA from 1 species